GGGGCAGCAUUCUUAGCUUGCUAAGGCGAUGGCGACCGGCGCACGGGUGAGUAACGCGUAUCCACCUGCCUUACACUCUUGGAUAGCCUUCUGAAAGGGAGAUUAAUACAAGAUGUUUAAGCAUUUUUAAAGGUUCGGUGUAAGAUGGGGAUGCGUUCCAUUAGAUAGUAGGCGGGGUAACGGCCCACCUAGUCUUCGAUGGAUAGGGGUUCUGAGAGGAAGGUCCCCCACAUUGGAACUGAGACACGGUCCAAACUCUACGGGAGGCAGCAGUGAGGAAUAUUGGUCAAUGGGCGAUGGCCUGAACCAGCCAAGUAGCGUGAAGGAUGACUGCCUAUGGGUUGUAAACUUCUUUUAUAAAGGAAUAAGUCGGGUAUGCAUACCCGUUUGCAUGUACUUUAUGAAUAAGGAUCGGCUAACUCCGUGCCAGCAGCCGCGGUAAUACGGAGGAUCCGAGCGUUAUCCGGAUUUAUUGGGUUUAAAGGGAGCGUAGAUGGAUGUUUAAGUCAGUUGUGAAAGUUUGCGGCUCAACCGUAAAAUUGCAGUUGAUACUGGAUGUCUUGAGUGCAGUUGAGGCAGGCGGAAUUCGUGGUGUAGCGGUGAAAUGCUUAGAUAUCACGAAGAACUCCGAUUGCGAAGGCAGCCUGCUAAGCUGCAACUGACAUUGAGGCUCGAAAGUGUGGGUAUCAAACAGGAUUAGAUACCCUGGUAGUCCACACGGUAAACGAUGAAUACUCGCUGUUUGCGAUAUAGGCAAGCGGCCCAGCGAAAGCGUUAAGUAUUCCACCUGGG
rnacentral:rRNA from 1 species